rnacentral:lncRNA from 1 species
AACAUCCAAUGUAAUAGAAUUUCAGACAGAUGGACCAAGGCCUUUAUGCUUCACAUCAACACCAAAAGCCUAUAAAGAAAGUAAAGAUGCAACUUUACGAACAGUUCGCAAACGACAAUCACAGUUAAACGAUUACAUAAGCACAACAUGUGGUGGAAGCAUUAGGUCCAAAAUCAACCAAACCACUACUCUUUUGAAAUCAUUCAAUGAAAAUGAACAAGAAAUUAUUCUAAGUAACUCAAAUAUUUCAAAAACCAAAAUAUCAGCUGAAGAAAUAAUAAGUUUAAAAGCUAACAUGAGCAGUACUUAUGCCAACAUGAAAAUAUUAUCUAGGUGGUUGAAAACCAAGAACAUCAUUUGUGCUUCAAACGCACAACAAAGAAGCCUGGCUAAGAAAUGGUCAUGU